AUUCCAGCUCCAAUAGCGUAUAUUAAAGUUGUUGCAGUUAAAAAGCUCGUAGUUGGAUUUCUGGCAGGAGUGACUGACCACAAACUCUGUUUGUGAGUUGUGUCAUUCUGGCCAUCCUUGGUAAGAUCCUUUUUGGCAUUAAGUUGUCGGGAAGGGGAUGACCAUCGUUUACUGUGAAAAAAUUAGAGUGUUUAAAGCAGGCUUAUGCCGUUGAAUAUAUUAGCAUGGAAUAAUAAGAUAGGACUUUGAGUCUAUUUUGUUGGUUUGCGAGUCAAAGUAAUGAUUAAUAGGGACAGUCAGGGGCACUCGUAUUCCGCCGAGAGAGGUGAAAUUCUCAGACCAGCGGAAGACGAACCACUGCGAAAGCAUUUGCCAGGGAUGUUUUCAUUA
rnacentral:rRNA from 1 species